rnacentral:rRNA from 1 species
UACGGAGGAUGCAAGCGUUAUCCGGAAUGAUUGGGCGUAAAGGGUCCGCAGGUGGCAGUGUAAGUCUGCUGUCAAAGAAUGAGGCUUAACCUUAUCAAGGCAGUGGAAACUACACAGCUAGAGUACGGUCGGGGUAGAAGGAAUUCCUGGUGUAGCGGUGAAAUGCGUAGAGAUCAGGAAGAACACCGGUGGCGAAAGCGUUCUGCUAGACCUGUACUGACACUGAGGGACGAAAGCUAGGGGAGCGAACGGG